CAGAAGGGGAUAACACUUGGAAACAGGUGCUAAUACCGUAUAACACUAUUUUCCGCAUGGAAGAAAGUUGAAAGGCGCUUUUGCGUCACUGAUGGAUGGACCCGCGGUGCAUUAGCUAGUUGGUGAGGUAACGGCUCACCAAGGCCACGAUGCAUAGCCGACCUGAGAGGGUGAUCGGCCACACUGGGACUGAGACACGGCCCAGACUCCUACGGGAGGCAGCAGUAGGGAAUCUUCGGCAAUGGACGAAAGUCUGACCGAGCAACGCCGCGUGAGUGAAGAAGGUUUUCGGAUCGUAAAACUCUGUUGUUAGAGAAGAACAAGGAUGAGAGUAAAAUGUCCAUCCCUUGACGGUAUCUAACCAGAAAGCCACGGCUAACUACGUGCCAGCAGCCGCGGUAAUACGUAGGUGGCAAGCGUUGUCCGGAUUUAUUGGGCGUAAAGCGAGCGCAGGCGGUUUCUUAAGUCUGAUGUGAAAGCCCCCGGCUCAACCGGGGAGGGUCAUUGGAAACUGGGAGACUUGAGCGCAGAAGAGGAGAGUGGAAUUCCAUGUGUAGCGGUGAAAUGCGUAGAUAUAUGGAGGAACACCAGUGGCGAAGGCGGUUCUCUGGUCUGUAACUGACGCUGAGGCUCGAAAGCGUGGGGAGCGAACAGGAUUAGAUACCCUGGUAGUCCACGCCGUAAACGAUGAGUGCUAAGUGUUGGAGGGUUUCCGCCCUUCAGUGCUGCAG
rnacentral:rRNA from 1 species